ACUCCUACGGGAGGCAGCAGUGGGAAUAUUGCACAAUGGGAAGGCCAUCGAUGCAGCCAUGCCGCGCUGUGUGAAGAAGGCCAAUUCGGGCUUGGUUAAAGACACUUUUCAGUCGUGAGGAAGGUAGUGUAGUUAAUAGCUGCAUUAUUUGACGUUAGCGACAGAAGAAGCACCGGCUAACUCCGUGCCAGCAGCCGCGGUAAUACGGAGGGUGCGAGCGUUAAUCGGAAUUACUGGGCGUAAAGCGCAUGCAGGUGGUUUGUUAAGUCAGAUGUGAAAGCCCGGGGCUCAAGCCUCGGAAUUGCAUUUGAAACUUGGACAGACUAGAGUACUGUAGAGGGGGUGA
rnacentral:rRNA from 1 species